AACCCAAAAUCCCAUCUUUUUCCUACAGUCUUCGCUCUGAUUAUCGU
rnacentral:sRNA from 1 species